rnacentral:rRNA from 1 species
AUGGGGGCCAACCUUGGGCAAGAUGCCAGAGAGCGCAAGAAAGCGCUGCUUUCCGCGAUUCAAGCUCUUGACCUACGGGCUGACUCGGUGGGUUUGUCUCCGGAUGAGUGGCUCUCCCGUUAUGCCCUCGAAGACCAACUCUCCGUGAUCCACUCUGAUGAGGAGGCCUAUUGGCGCAUUCGGGGCGCCCAGAAGUGGGUCCUGAAGGGUGAUGCGAAUACCGCUUACUUCCAGGCGAUCGCCAACGGUCGCCGUAGGCGCAACACCAUCCCCCUCCUUUGGGAUGGGGACACUCUUCUUCCGGACCCUCGCGACAUCCGGUCUCAUGUCGAUGGCUUCUAUCGGUCCCUUUUCUCCGCCGCUCCUCGGAGCGGCGUUUCCCUCGCCCAGGAUUGUUGGGCCGGUAUUCAGCUAGUCUCCAGGGCGGAAAAUGCCGCCCUGACGGCUCCCUUCUCCGAGCAGGAGGUCUGGGAGGCUAUCAAGGGGAUGAAUUCCUCUUCAGCUCCUGGUCCUGAUGGCCUCCCUGUUAUUUUCUUCCAGACCUUCUGGAACGUGAUUAAACCCGAGGUCAUGGCCAUCUUUGAGGAAUUCUUUGUGGGUGCCAUCGACCUAGGUCGCCUCAACUAUGGGAUCAUCUCCCUCAUCCCCAAGAUCCCUGGGGCGUCCGACAUCCGCCAGUUCCGGCCGAUCACGGUCAUUAAUGUGGUCUUCCGGAUCUUGGCCAAAGGGUACGCCAAUAGGGUGACCCUGCUGGCUAACCGGAUUACGCAUCCUAACCAGUCGGCCUUCAUUAGAGGACGAUAUAUCCUGGAUGGUGUUUUGGUCCUCCAUGAGGUCCUUCACGAGGUCCGGUCCAAACACCUCAAGGCGGUUUUCUUGAAGAUCGAUUUUCACAAAGCCUAU